rnacentral:rRNA from 1 species
UACGAAGGGGGCUAGCGUUGUUCGGAAUUACUGGGCGUAAAGCGCACGCAGGCGGAUUUAUAAGUCAGGGGUGAAAUCCCGGGGCUCAACCUCGGAAUUGCCUUUGAUACUGUCGAUCUUGAGUCCGGGAGAGGUGAGUGGAAUUCCUAGUGUAGAGGUGAAAUUCGUAGAUAUUAGGAAGAUCACCAGUGGCGAAGGCGGCUCACUGGCCCGGUACUGACGCUCAUGUGCGAAAGCGUGGGGAGCAAACAUG